UACGGGGUGCCACAGGCGCGAAACCUUUACACUGCACGAGAGUGCGAUAAGGGGACUCCACGUGCGAGGGCAUAUAGUCCUCGCUUUUCUCGACCGUAAGGAGGUCGAGGAAUAAGUGCUGGGCAAGACCGGUGCCAGCCGCCGCGGUAAUACCGGCAGCACGAGUGAUGACCGCUCUUAUUGGGCCUAAAGCGUCCGUAGCUGGCCACGCAAGUCUAUCGGGAAAUCCGCGCGCUCAACGCGCGGGCGUCCGGUGGAAACUGUGUGGCUUGGGACCGGAAGAUCCAGAGGGUACGUCCGGGGUAGGAGUGAAAUCCCGUAAUCCUGGACGGACCACCGGUGGCGAAAGCGCUCUGGAAAGACGGAUCCGACGGUGAGGGACGAAAGCUCGGGUCACGAACCGGAUUAGAUACCCGGGUAGUCCGAGCUGUAAACGAUGUCUGCUAGGUGUGCCACAGGCUACGAGCCUGUGGUGUGCCGUAGGGAAGCCGUGAAGCAGACCGCCUGGGAAGUACGUCCGCAAGGAUGAAACUUAAAGGAAUUGGCGGGGGGAGCAC
rnacentral:rRNA from 2 species